UUAGAUUAAGACCCAGUUUUCAGGGCAACAUAACCAUGGAUAUUUACCUGCAGCUGUAAAAUAAUAAACAUAACAUGCAAAAGCAAAAGUACAAAAGAGGUGAGCAUAAAAACAUUGACAUGCUUAAUAAUUAUUGUCCCUUUUCUUCCACCCAUCCCCACUCUUUUUUAGGGUUACUGGGUGUCAUACCUUUGUAAUGUUUGUUUGUUUGGUUUUUAAUUACUGCCACCGUUUUCUAAACACUACGUGCUAACUUAAUUUGAAAGCCAUCGCUCUGUCCCCUGCCCAACACACACACACGGUCCUCUGAGAAACCAAAUUAUAGAAUAAAUAUACAAGAUGCGUGUCACUCCCUGUCUCAAAUUCCGCCUCUUGGAAACCUGGACCGACAGCUGGCUCUUGCGAGAUCGUAGCCCUCGUCGGACACCUUCCCCAUGGGGUUCUAUGGACAAAGGGCGCCAAGGGCGUGGAAGGCACGGUUUUGGAUUUCGUGGAGUAGAGGAAGAGCCACCCUCAGUGAAUGUGUGGGUGUGUUCAGGCAAGGAAAGGAACCAGGCAGCAGCCACGAGGGAAGAAUCAGUGACCGCGUACGUAUACACGAGAGGAAGGAACAGAUACCCAGGCAGGCCCCGAGUUACCUGCACAUCCCCAGGGAAAUAGAGGACGUGAUGCUGGGGCGGCGGCUGCGGCUCCUCCUUCGCUGGGUCCCCGGGGAGGUCCUGCCGCUCCAGUCCCUCCCCGGCCGCCGCCAACAGGAGCAAUUCGUUGCUGCGCUGCGGAUCGGCUCCAGGCACGGUGGAAAGCUGCAGGCACUGACGGCGGCGCACCUCGGCCGAGAGGGAGCAUCGCGCGCCGCCGCUGCCGCCCGGGUUCAUGGUUCUGGCCUGAGAGCAGGACGAGGCGUUUCCGAUUCCGAGCUGCGGCAGCAGGAGCAGCAACGGCGGCGACCGCAGGAGCCUGAACCCCCACAUGGGUCGCCGCCGCGAGAGCGGUUCGGAGGUGGAGGGUGGCGGAGGGGUUCCUGAGGGAGGGACUUCAGCAGGCGGCUCAACAGUCGGCGGCCGCGGCCCGGCCGAGAGCCGGCGCUGAGGCGACGACGUCAGAGGCCGACGUCCGCGCGCAGCGUGCGUAAGGAAAGGAAGGGAGGGUGUGGGCGAAAUCGGUCUUGGGAUCCCGGAGAAGACGGUGGGCGUGGCUUGAGGAAGGGCGUUUGUGAUUGGUGGGUUCUGCCGCGGCCGGGAAGUUCGAACAGAAGUCUGGGGAAGAGCCGGCGAAGAGCCGGCGAAGAGCAAAGAGAUAACACAGUACUCCCAGCUAUAGCAAGCGGCAGUUAUGGAGCAUGCGCAGCAGCAGGGGCGGCCGCAGGUCGCCGUUCAAUAAUACGUAAUGUAUAGACUUUUGACUAUACGAAGCUCCCUGUUUCUGUAGGUUCACCUGAGAUUUAUCUGGUCUUUCAGGGCUUAAAAGGGAGACAUUCCCAAAGACGAUUCCGUGGGAAGUCUCCUACAAGCCCCGAAGGAAGGGAAUCUCUCUCCUCAUACCUUGAGCUUCCUGAGUACAAUUAUUAUAGAUAUACGAAGAUCUCUGUGCUCAUGGAGAAUUUGUUCAAGGGAUUUGUAUAGCCCUGUAGGAGACACCUCCAGAGAAAGUAACAGUUCUCAACUGAUCAGCUGAGGUAAAGAAUAAACAGAUGCUUUUACAGCUCGCAUUGGCGGGAAGAUCUGGCACAAAUGAAGUAUCUAUAAGGAGCAGCAGAGUCAAGGUGGUGAUCCUGUGGAUGAAUAACUGAAACCUGAUAUACUUGACAGCAGAAAAUAUAAAGCAAAUUGAAAAGGAGAGAGUGUGGAGAUAAAUAAGAAAAUGAAAGAACUGAUGAAGUCACUUGGAUUAAAAAACCUGGGGAAGACACCAGACAAAUGAGUUACACUGUUUUGGACUCCCCAACACAACCCAGCCACCGGCUGAAUGCCACCAAAUUACCUUCUAGUUAAAGGUUUAUGGAGCAAACGAAUCACCUAUUCAAUAUCUGCUUGAAUUUCUGACUCAAAAUACAUCAAAGCUUCAGGGGCUGGAUCCUGACAUGAACCAGACACCUCCAGAAUUCUAUCCCAAGCAAAAGAUUACUUCAAGGCCAGAACUCACUCCCUGCUGGAGACUGACUACAAGAUCCACUGAGAUUGAUUUGUAACCUGAUUGGGCCCACAGUGAUGCUAGCCCCUUCACCAGAUGGAACAAUAAUUCCAGACAAGUUAUCAGAGCAAGAGCAGAGAAGAGGAGAAGCAGCUGGAUGUCAGAGACUGCAGUUUGAUGUUGGAGAAAAGCAGCUUGACUUCAGAGGGACAGCUUGACAGCAUGGAUUCAGAGAGGAGAAGAUCACCUUCCUGCUCCGUCCCCUUUCCAGCUCCCUUUCCCACUGAGAGCCACUUACACAGGCAAUAAAAUCCUCUGCAUUCACC
rnacentral:lncRNA from 1 species